rnacentral:pre_miRNA from 1 species
GUAGUACUCCCUCCGUCCGGAAAUACUUGUCAUCAAAAUGAAUAAAAGGGGAUGUAUCUAAAUGUAUAUUAGUUCUAGAUACAUCUUUUUUAUCCAUUUUGAUGACAAGUAUUUUCGGACAGAGGGAGUACUUG